UACGUAGGGGGCUAGCGUUAUCCGGAUUUACUGGGCGUAAAGGGCGCGUAGGCGGCCAUUCAAGUCGGAGGUGAAAGCCCAGGGCUCAACCCUGGAAUUGCCUUCGAUACUGUCUGGCUAGAGACCGGAAGAGGUAAGUGGAACUGCGAGUGUAGAGGUGAAAUUCGUAGAUAUUCGCAAGAACACCAGUGGCGAAGGCGGCUUACUGGUCCGGUUCUGACGCUGAGGCGCGAAAGCGUGGGGAGCAAACAGG
rnacentral:rRNA from 1 species